UACGGAGGGUGCGAGCGUUGUCCGGAAUCACUGGGCGUAAAGGGCGCGUAGGCGGCGCGGGUAGUCGUCGGUGAAAGCUCAGGGCUCAACCCUGAGUCGGCCGGUGAUACUCCCGUGCUCGAGCACUGUAGAGGCAGGUGGAAUUCCGGGUGUAGCGGUGGAAUGCGUAGAGAUCCGGAAGAACACCGGUGGCGAAGGCGGCCUGCUGGGCAGUAGCUGACGCUGAGGUGCGAAAGCGUGGGGAGCAAACAGG
rnacentral:rRNA from 1 species